GAUGAACGCUAGCGGCAGGCCUAAUACAUGCAAGCCGAACGGCAAGAUUUUCAGCAAUGGAAAUCCUAGAGUGGCGUAAGGGUGCGUAACACGUAUGCAAUCUGCCCUCAACAGGAGGAUAGCUCCCCGAAAGGGGAAUUAAGACUCCAUAAGAUCUUAGAGUGGCAUCACUUAGAGAUUAAACUACCAGGGGUUGAGGAUGAGCAUGCGCAUGAUUAGUUAGUUGGCGGGGUAACGGCCCACCAAGACGAUGAUCAUUAGGGGAACUGAGAGGUUGAUCCCCCACACUGGCACUGAGAUACGGGCCAGACUCCUACGGGAGGCAGCAGUAGGGAAUAUUGGACAA
rnacentral:rRNA from 1 species